rnacentral:rRNA from 1 species
UACGAAGGGGCUAGCGUUGCUCGGAAUCACUGGGCGUAAAGCGCACGUAGGCGGAUCUUUAAGUCAGGGGUGAAAUCCCGGGCUCAACCUCGGAACUGCCUUGAUACAGCAGUCUUGAGUUCGAGAGAGGUGGGUGGAAUUCCUAGUGUAGAGGUGAAAUUCGUAGAUAUUAGGAGGAACACCGGUGGCGAAGGCGGCCCACUGGCUCGACGACUGACGCUGAGGUGACGAAAGCGUGGGAGCAACAGGG